GAUGAAAUGAAUGCUCUAUAAAUUUAAAAUAAACUUAGGAAAAUGAGCUUCUGAUGGGUCUGUUUUAUGACUGAGAAGUGAUGUGAAAUUCACAUACUAGGUGUAUUUCAGAGCAGAGAGGCCGCAGCAGUCCUGGAUCGGCUGGAAGUGACAGUUGUAAGAGUGAUUGCAAACCUACAAGAUGAGCCAAAGAGAGUGAGCCCAUGACUCUGUGCAUCACAGAAGCCCCGAGGUAGACAGAUAAUCCAUCGAAUAGAAGUGACAGACUAAUUUGUAAGCAAAAGGAUUUGUAAUAUUUAGCAAAAAGAUAAGGGUACUCCAUAGCACUAAAAUAUAAGGCAAUUGCACUGACAGUCCUGCUUAAGGAAUGGAAAAGAGAAGGAUAAACUAUGUAUAAUGCUUUAUGGUUUAUAAGGUCCUUUAUAAUAUUUGUUCUUCACAACAAAAUAAUGAUCACUUCUAUUUUUUGAUGAAUAAAUUGAGGUUUGAUGAGGUUAAAUAUGUGACCCUCAAACCAUAUUUCAGGCAUUCAUUCACUACAAUAUCUACUGAAUUAACUGUAGCUAUUUCUUAAAUUUGUAGUGAUGUUGUUAUGUUAUGACUUUGACCAUAGAAAAUGGAAGAGUAUAUCUAUUAGCUCUUGAAUUUAGAACAGCUCCCAUUUUUUUCUUUAAGCAACAUUUUGCUCUUAAAGUCUCAUGGUCAGAUGCUUCCUGGCAUUUGGCUGGAGGAAUGUAUAGCUAGGGUCUAGUGAGGUAUGGCAUUGUUCCCUUGAAAAAGGAAUGAGGCCAGGCAUGGGAGGGCCUGGGUCUAGCUUAUUCCCCCGGCUGACAAGGAUCAUUUGAGCUCCUUCAUGACCAGAACUCAUCCAGGGAUGCCAUGGAGACUGACUCAAACUCUUCAGUUGCAGAAUUCUUUGGCUAAAAUGAGUAUUAUACAGAAGUCCACAGUAUUUUUUUUUUCUUAAAAAGAAAAACCAAAAACAAAAGUAGAACUACUUUUGCUGAUGAGGAGAAAGUAGACGCAGAUUUCUGCCUUGCACAUAGUAGGCACUUAAAUUUUGAAUAAGUGAAUAUCUACCUCUGCGGUAACCUCUUGGCUAACUGUGGAUUAACUCAUCUCAUGUCCCGUGGGUCCAGGCUGCCCCUCUGUGCAGUGUGGCUGUCUGGUCUCAGGGCCUUCAAACUCUAAUAGGAUCCUUUGGGAGCUAAAAUGCCUCACCCCAACAGCGCCCCUAAAGGUGGGCAUUUCACACACUGAGGACAGAGUAGCUAAGAACACAUAACCAUGACCAUGUUGCCCACUUAGUUUAUUCAUGGGGGCAGAUGUGCAGUGGAAACAAGGGAGAUCCUUUAAGACUUGUGGUGUGACACAGCUGAUGCUUCUGGAAGGCCAGCAGGAGUUACAGCAGAGCAGAACUUCUUUUCAAAAACAGUUGAAUACUAGGUCAGUAUUCAAGUGACCCACUAUAGCUUUCCCUCUUAUCUUAUUUCAUAUAAUUCAUCCUAGAGCCACACAAAACACAGCCUUUCCCCCUAAACCUCUACCUACUCUGUAAGCAACCUCAAAUCACAUUUCUAUUAUAAAAAAGGAAUGUAUUAUUUUUCUCGUGCUAUGAAUGGGAAAACUAAUACUCUACAAAAUGUGUCUUAGAAAGGAGGCCAGAGGCUGAACCGACACCAGAAAUGAUGAACAUUUGGUCUUUCAAAUGUGGAAGCAGAAAAUGAAUGGUGCCAGAUAUUUGAUUUGAAUAAUAAGCCCCAAAAUGUAAUCCUAACAUUUAAAGCUAUAAAACAAACCAACAACAACAACAACAAAAAUACAUAAAAUGAUGUUGAAAUUAAGAGAGAAACUUUUUGGGGGGAUUGUUUUCUCAGCACUUUUCUUGCCUUGACCCUCCUAUUCUCACUAUUAAGAUGUUACAAGAAGUGGUUUUUAUGCAACAUUAAAUUGUCCUAACCAUCUUCAACAACUCAAUACAAGAUUCAUAAACAAAAAGCACAGGUUACAAUCUCCUGUCUAUAUCUGGUCAGAUUUAUGAAGCUUGCAAAAUACGUAACACUUGGAGUCUCCAUCAUCCCGAGAUGGGUGUAGCUGAGCAACUCCUGCAUGACGUUGAGCUGUUCUGAACAAUCUCUGCUGGGGCUUCUUCUCUCCCUUCAAAGACAGUUUGCUUAGAGCUGCUGGGCACCAAUCACUUGAUCAUCGUGCCAGGAAAAGCCAAUUUCUUUACUAUUUACGUCACACUCACUGGGUGCCAGGUGGUGUCCUGAAUGCUUUGCUAAUAUUGACUCAAUCCUUGAAACAAACCCAUGAGGUAAGUACUGUUAAUACCCAAGUUUCACAGACGAGAACAUGGUGGUACAGAUGAGUUAGGCAGCGUGCUCGCAUAUCUCAUGGCUGCGAAGAGCUGUGGCCUGUAUUGGGCCCCAGGAGUCUAGCUGUAGAGCAGGAAUCUGCAGUUGUCCCCUCUGUGGCCCUCGCAGUUAAAUGACAACAAUGAGCAUCUCUGAGAGCACAGCAGAUGGCCCUGGGAUCUGCAUGCAGCGGGGACUCUUGUGGAUGUAUUUUCCUGCUCAUGCCUGAAAGAGCCCCUUGAAGGCUUUGGUUAAGCAGAGUCCACUCUGGGUGAGCUCUCUUAGAAUGUGACCUAGACCUGGACUUUCUGAACUUUUUCAAGUAAAGGAAAGAACAGGAAUGGGUCAUUGAAAAUAUCCUAAAGCUUUAUGUGUUCUGUUUUCAGAGUUUUUCCGAGUCUCUAUGCAAGGGUCACUUCCCACAUGUCUGAGAAGGAAAGAGGAGGUGAGAGGAGAGAAAUAGAGAAUCAGAAUCUGCCCUUGAAUGAAACACUAUUUGAAGCAUUAAAUCACUAAGAGAAUGCAACCCUUGAAGGCAGAUUGAACAUGGAACUUCUGUUACCUUAUUAAGUCAAACCAGUUAGAAACCAGAUGUCUCCUAAGAAAUGGAACAUAUUUGUUUACAAACAUAUAUAGUAAAUGACAAGAUGUAUGGAAAAUAAAUAUGACACUCUCUGAAUUUUUAAAAAGAGUUCUUUACUAAGUUAGCAAGUGACAUAGGUAAGGUAGGAUCAGCCUAACAUGAAUAACAGUUUUCCUUUAAAGGACCCAGAAACGGGGAUCUAUAAAUAAAAUACAUUAGCCAUGCAGUAACUUUGCUUAAAAAAUAUUUUUUUGUGUUUAAUUAGUAAUGUUCUAUCACACCUUAAAGAAUGGGGCCUCACUUCUCUCAAACCUUCCCUUCCACAUGCCCUGGGUGAGGAGACAUGGAAUCAGUGACUCAAAGGACAAGUGGCACCAUUGCCACUAUCACUCAGGAGGUGAAUUGAUGCAAAAAUAAGACAGAUCAGAAGCAGGUGAUACGCUGCUAUUCAUAAACCCGUUCAUCCGAAAAUUGAAUGCCUCUCUCCAGACGUCACCCCUAAUGGGUAGCUGUACCUGGGCAUGCUCACCCAGCUUUUGGAUGAAACUCUUCCUCCGAGGGUGACAGGGAGUGGAGAAAUGAUGCUGGCCACGGGACAGGCAUGGAGAGCCUGCCCUUCCAACUUGCUUCUGUGAGUGCUCGUCUGGGGAUCCCUGCAGCACCUCCGACUCACCACGUCCAGGACUCAAUGCACCACCUGCGUCUCCUGUGUUCUCCAGUGCUGAAAACGGCAUCACCAUCCUAACACCCAAGCUUCUCAGUCAUUUUUGAAUCAUCUUCUUCUCUGCAGCCCAUACUUAAUGAACUCUUCAGUCUUGCUGAUUUUAAGGUGCCAACUUCUCAGGCUUUUUCCUCCUCUCCAUUAUCCUGGUGCAAACCCUUGAGAAUGGCCCUUGAGCCCCUGACCUAAGCCCUAGAAAUAGUGCCAUGAGCAAACAUCUACACUCGUUUCUUUCAAAAGACCUUUGCUAAGCCAUGGCUAACAUUUUCAUUUCCGUCAUACCUGGACUGCUGUCGCUGGUCUCUACAACCAAGAGCGCUCUGCACACACUGUUGUUCUGACUCUCUCAAUCACUCCAAAUAUAUAAAAGACUCACUUCCACCCAGACACAUCCCCCCCAUUUGAUACAGUUUGGACCUAUUUCCCUGCCCAAAUAUCACGUCGAAUUGUGGUCCCCAGUGUUGGAGGUGGGGCCUGGUGGGAGGUGAUUGGAUCAUGGCUGCGGAUUUCCCCCUCAGUACUGUCCUCACGAUAGUGUAUGAGUUCAUCUGAGAUCUGGUCAUUUAAUAGUGCGUAGUAUCUGCUCCCUAAUCUCGCUCCUGCUCCAACCAUGUAAGACGGGCCUGCUUCUCCUUCGCCUUUUGCCACGAUUGUAAGUUUCCUGAGGCAGAAGCCCAGGAGCAGAAGCCGCUAUGCUUCCUGUACAGCCUGCAGAACCAUGAGCUCAUCAAACCUUGUUUCUUUAUAAAUUACACAGUCUCAGGUAUUUCCUUACAACUGUGUGAGAAUGCACUAAUACACCCCUCAGGAAGUUUCCCUGUCCUCUAGAAGUGUAACUAUAUCUCAGCUUGGGAGGGCAAGCAGGGAUUAAGGUCCUAUAGGCCCCAAAUGCCCAUAGGCAUGAAUAGCUUUUCUUCCAGCAUUGGAAUAGAUGCAGCAGCUGAAGUGGCUCGCUUCUGUUAGGGCGUGGUUGCACUGGAGGGCCAUGACGUAAUUACUACACUUCAGAGGCAGGUGAAGAGCUGAAACUGACAGAGGAAUGCAGGAUUCUUAUGUUUGAUCUCAUGGUCUCUCCAGAGUGUGGACCCAAGAGUAGCGUGGAAGGUGGAGUGGACAGAAGGGGGCCUGGCCUGCUCUCUGGGCCUGGUUGGAUUUGAAUAAAUUACAGUAGAUGCAUGCUGACUUCACAUUGCAAUCGCAGCCUCGUCCUGCUUGUUUUUAUUUUCAACUCAAGUCCGUCAAUCAGUUUUCAUCCUUCAGGUUUGGCCCUGUUGUUUCCUCACUCAUGUAUAAUCUUUCACACAAACUAUCUCUUAGGGUAGGGGCGUGGGGGAACUAUAGACUAAUUCCCUUCAUUCAUUUUGUAUGCAUCCACUGCAGUAAAAAUCAAUUUAGAAUCCAUCACUCUUAGGAUGCUUUUCUGAUUAAGUAAGAAACAUUUACCAUCCACACAGCAUAUCAAGCUUUACCACUGGACAAUUUUAAUGCAGAUUAAAGCAUAAAGUAGCUCUCUGCUUUUUCCAAGAUCCAGACUGGUCCCCUAGAAAGCCUUCCCCGAUGCCCCCAGAUAAAGCGAGUCAUCCCCUCUACUCAGUCCCACCCCACAGAAUCCAGCCCAGUAUAAUAAGGUCACAGCCUACAUCGCCUUUAUUCAUGUGUCUCUGGAACUCAGCAUGCAGUAGGUAUUCAUUAAGUAUUGAUUUUAUGAGAUUCAAGGUUUCUAUUUGUAUAUAAGAGAUUUAGUUGGCUAACUAACAGUUUCAAUGGUUGAUUACAAUCCUAAAUGAUCCAUGUCACUGGGAAAUCAUAGACACAUCUUUAAAGAAGCUUCCUCUUUUAUUUCCAGCUUUGUUGAGAUAUAAUUGACAAAUAAAAAUUGUAUAUACUUAAGUUGUACACAUGAUGUUUUGAUAUAUGAAUACAUUGUGAAAUGAUUAUCAUAAUCAAGCUAAU
rnacentral:lncRNA from 1 species